GAUACGAUAAAAUCCCACGAGAAACUCCUUGGAUCUUCCGAAUCUUGACCAAAGCUACCACCCAGCGCCUCUAAAAUACCGACCCUGCUGAGGCCUCGGCCAAGCUUAUAAAAUGGAAGCUCCGUUACGCUGCCUCGCACGCAUCCCCAAAUAUAUUGUCUAACCUUUUCUGAAAAAAAUAUAUCUGCAUGGACUGCCCAAAACUAUUUAAUCUGUAUUUUUUGGGCAUCGCGUUACAUUUUUCCAUUCCUAACGUUAGGUUGGAUUGACCAUUGCCUGAG
rnacentral:lncRNA from 1 species